rnacentral:rRNA from 1 species
UGGGGAAUAUUGCACAAUGGGCGCAAGCCUGAUGCAGCGACGCCGCGUGAGGGAUGACGGCCUUCGGGUUGUAAACCUCUUUCAGUAGGGAAGAAGCGAAAGUGACGGUACCUGCAGAAGAAGCGCCGGCUAACUACGUGCCAGCAGCCGCGGUAAUACGUAGGGCGCAAGCGUUAUCCGGAAUUAUUGGGCGUAAAGAGCUCGUAGGCGGUUUGUCGCGUCUGCCGUGAAAGUCCGGGGCUCAACUCCGGAUCUGCGGUGGGUACGGGCAGACUAGAGUGAUGUAGGGGAGACUGGAAUUCCUGGUGUAGCGGUGAAAUGCGCAGAUAUCAGGAGGAACACCGAUGGCGAAGGCAGGUCUCUGGGCAUUAACUGACGCUGAGGAGCGAAAGCAUGGGGAGCGAACAGGAUUAGAUACCCUGGUAGUCCAUGCCGUAAACGUUGGGCACUAGGUGUGGGGGACAUUCCACGUUUUCCGCGCCGUAGCUAACGCAUUAAGUGCCCCGCCUGGGGAGUACGGCCGCAAGGCUAAAACUCAAAGGAAUUGACGGGGGCCCGCACAAGCGGCGGAGCAUGCGGAUUAAUUCGAUGCAACGCGAAGAACCUUACCAAGGCUUGACAUGGGCCGGAUCGCCGCAGAAAUGUGGUUUCCCCUUUGGGGCCGGUUCACA